rnacentral:rRNA from 1 species
AGGACGAACGCUGGCGGCGUGCCUAAUACAUGCAAGUCGAGCGCGGGAAGCAGGCGGACCCCUCCGGGGUGAAGUUUGUGGAACGAGCGGCGGACGGGUGAGUAACACGUGGGCAACCUACCUGUAAGACUGGGAUAACUCCGGGAAACCGGGGCUAAUACCGGAUAACACUUUUUGGCACAUGUUGAGAAGUUGAAAGGCGGCUUUUAGCUGUCACUUACAGAUGGGCCCGCGGCGCAUUAGUUAGUUGGUAGGGUAACGGCCUACCAAGGCGACGAUGCGUAGCCGACCUGAGAGGGUGAUCGGCCACACUGGGACUGAGACACGGCCCAGACUCCUACGGGAGGCAGCAGUAGGGAAUCAUCCGCAAUGGACGAAAGUCUGACGGUGCAACGCCGCGUGAGUGAUGAAGGUUUUCGGAUCGUAAAACUCUGUUGUUAGGGAAGAACAAGUACCGUUUGAAUAAGGCGGUACCUUGACGGUACCUAACCAGAAAGCCCCGGCUAACUACGUGCCAGCAGCCGCGGUAAUACGUAGGGGGCAAGCGUUGUCCGGAAUUAUUGGGCGUAAAGCGCUCGCAGGCGGUCUUUUAAGUCUGAUGUGAAAGCCCACGGCUCAACCGUGGAGGGUCAUUGGAAACUGGAGGACUUGAGUGCAGAAGAGGAGAGUGGAAUUCCACGUGU